GAUUUGUAAAUGUAAGAACUGAAAAUUCAAUAUAUAUUACUAAUUACUUAUCUAUUGUAUAUCUUGUACUUUUACAUUGUUUAUACUACAAUUUUUAAUUGUCAUAUAUCUUAUAAUAUUUCCG
rnacentral:rRNA from 1 species